rnacentral:rRNA from 1 species
ACUUAACACUAAGUUGUCCUAAAAUUGUUAACAUAUYUUACAAAAUAAUUAUUCACUACUGAAACAUCAAAAAGYCCAGUAAAGGAGAAAGAAGAUGCAAAUUAAUUUUUAGUACCGYAGGGGAAUACAGCCAACUUAAAAAAGUAGUUGUUAUAACGUACUUUUUGUAUCACGAUUUAGCAAGAAAAAAUCAGAACUCUGCCUUCUCGAAAACUAGUGAGCUAUUUUUUUUAGGGUUGUUAGUCCCUUAGCUCUAAAUGUAACAAAAUUUAAGUAAUAAAAAAAAAUAGAGAUGAAAUUUCAUCCGCACUAGCGAUAGCUAGUUUCCCCGGAAAGAUAUAAAAGUGUCGAGGAAAAGCCUAAUUUAUAAUAUUAGUUAUUAUAUAUACCCUUUUUCAUUAAUUUUUCUGAGGAUAAGCUCAGAAAAAAGUUAAGAUUUUUUUUGAUUAAAAUURCUAUGURGGCUUAAAAUUGGCCACCAUAAAAGUUUGUUAUAAAAUAGUAGUAUUAACYCUAAAAAUAAAUAUAUUUAAAUCUAAAAAUCCUACGGGGAUAAGAACUUUAAUUAAAACAAGUUUUAUGCCUAUGCUAAAAUGAGUAUUAAAAACCUAAUUGUAAAAGAAAUUUAAUAUWUUUUUUCUUCGGGAAAAAAAUUGGAAAAAAUUAAUUAAUUAGAAGGAAUUCAGCAAAUUUAGUUGCUUCGCCUGUUUAUCAAAAACAUGGCUCUUUGCUUAUAUAAAUAUAAAGAGUCGAGCCUGCCCAGUGAAUAUUUUAACGGCCGCGGUACUCUGACCGUGCAAAGGUAGCAUAAUCAUUUGCCUUAUAAUUGAAGGCUAGUAUGAAUGGUUUGACGAGAGCAGCACUGUCUCCUUUUUAUUUUCAAGAACUUAACUUUUAGGUGAAGAGGCCUAAAUUUUAUUGAAGGACAAGAAGACCCUGUCGAGCUUAAAAGACAUCAUAGAGGUUUAAGUAUAGCUUUAAAUAAAUUUCUAGCGGGCUUUUUAGUUGGGGCGACUAAGGAACAAAAAAAGCUUCUUCUUAACAAUAAACAGUCAUGUUUAGAUCCGAUGUUAACGAUUGAAGGAAUUAGUUACCGCAGGGAUAACAGCAUAAUCUCUCUUAAGAGACCUAAUCGAAAGAGGGGGUUGUGACCUCGAUGUUGGACUAGAAUAUCCUAAAGAUGCAGAAGUCUUUGAGGGUUGGUCUGUUCGACCAUUAAAAUUCUACAUGAUCUGAGUUCAGACCGGCGUGAGCCAGGUCAGUUUCUAUCCUCAAUUUUUUAUCUGCGCCUAGUACGAAAGGAUCGGCUCAGGAAGUAUAAACUUUUAGUAGGAAUUAAAAUAAUAACAAAAUAAAUUUUAUUAUCAAAUUAGCAAAGUUAAUGCAGC